rnacentral:rRNA from 1 species
UGGCUCAGAACGAACGCUGGCGGCGUGCUUAACACAUGCAAGUCGUGCGGAAAGGCCCCUUUGGGGGUGCUCGAGCGGCGAACGGGUGAGUAACACGUGAGUAACCUGCCUCUGGCUUUGGGAUAACCCUCGGAAACGGGGGCUAAUACCGGAUAUGACCUGUCUCUGCAUGGGGGUGGGUGUAAAGGGUUUCUGGUUGGGGAUGGGCUCGCGGCCUAUCAGCUUGUUGGUGGGGUGAUGGCCUACCAAGGCGAGGAAGAGUAGCCGGCCUGAGAGGGCGACCGGCCACAUUGGGAUUGUUCUCACGGCCCAAGAUCCUACGGGAGGCA